AGUUCUGUUUUAGUUCUGUUAUAGUUCUAGUUCUGUUAUAGUUCUAGUUCUGUUCUAGUUGUGUUCUCGACCAUAAACUGAACGGUAUAUAGGCUAUACUAAGGGCUGCACAUUUAACUGGACCGUAGACUAGAAUAUAGACUGGACUUAAGAACUGAAUUUAAACACUAUGUAAUACAAACUUUAAACAAAAUAUUUACGAUUUUUAUCUCUUUUUUUCCAGAUACCCAUCUCGUUAUGGUUUGUAUCUUAAGGACAAGCCCCUCACUCCCAACUCUUUGGUCCCCUUGGAAUAUGAGCCUGAAGAUAAAUUGCUCCAAGAACUCAACAAGGUUUUGAAAGUUUGAUUUGUUAAAGAUUUAAUAAAAAAUUAUUAACAAAUCUUAGGUCAUAAAGAGAAAACAAAACAAAAUUCUUUUGUUUUUUUAGCUCAAGUUUUAUUUCGAAAUAAACCAAGUUCUUCUAGUUAAUAGUUGAUAUACAAGCAACAACUACAACAACAAACAACAUAUUAAACAAAAACAAUUAAUAAAUAUUUAAUAAAAUUAAUGUCAUUUUAAAAUUUAAGUGCAAUUUUUAAAUAUAGUUUAAAUUUAUAAAACAUA